CUAGAACGGGUUUUAUGGAUUGACACCCAACUGGUGUAACAUUUCUCAGCUGUACUGUUUGCUCCAAGGACUUUAAGCUGCUUUUUAGGUUUUCAGAACAAGAUUGUGCCAGCUUCAGGAAAUGGUUUUUGAAUUUCUCCAUAUUUGUUACAGACAACUUAAAUGCUAUGCAGCUGGUUUGAGCCUUAUCUUCUUGGUGAUUUUUGGAAGGUAAAUCAUUUGGGCUCAUGAGGAACAGAGGAGCCAAACCACUAUUGAGAAGAUUGCUGUUCACCAUUUUGACAACCACACAAGCCACAGAUGAUACUCUCAGAACUUAGAGACCAAGAAAGUCAAAGAAGAAAGGGACUGAAGAAUGUCAAGGAAAUGACCUAGCACUACAAGCCAUAAAGUAAUGACAGUUUCAAGGGGAAGAAUAGAGAGAAAGAGGAAUCAUGUGGAGAGGAAGAAGGUGGGGAGUUAAGGAGAGAAUUUGGUUAUAGCCAACAGGAAUAGAUCUGACAACUGAAAUUCUUAUGGGUAAAGGCAUUGUGGACAAAUACAAACUCACACACAAUGGGUUCCAAAAUAAUUUAUUUCUGCCCUGCAUUAGAAGAUGGGUGUCUGCUCAACCUAGAUGAGGCUCAACAAUAUCUCAGAGGGAAUCCAUAUGUCAUCAUUUCUGGCCAGUGACCUCUGAGUGGAAGUCUGAGAAGAAGUUUCUGGGAAGAAGAGUCCUGUUAUGUCCUCACUCUGUUGUUUCCUGUGAAGGAUACUGGUGGGCAGAAGGGAAGACUAGAUUGAGGCAUCCAUCUUGACAUCAUGAGAUAAAGACCAUCAAAAUUCCAGAAGUACCUAAACAAAUGCUGGAAGCAAUCAACCAAUGAUGAGACCACCUCCCGCCAAGGGAGAGGAGAAGGCAGCCAUCCGCACAAUGUUAACUGAGGUAUAUGUUGAGAAGAUCACCUGAAAUGAAAUAUGAAUCUCAUUGAAG
rnacentral:lncRNA from 1 species